rfam:Schistosoma mattheei strain Denwood, Zambia genome assembly, scaffold: SMTD_scaffold0011805
AUCUAACUGGCGAAUCUCAAAUAGGACGAAACGCGCGUCCUAGAU